AAUUUUGGACAAUGGGGGAAACCCUGAUGCAGCGACGCCGCGUGGGCGAAGAAGGCCUUCGGGUCGUAAAGCCCUUUUCUGGGUGACGAGGAAGGACGGUAGCCCAGGAAGAAGUCUCGGCUAACUACGUGCCAGCAGCCGCGGUAAAACGUAGGAGGCAAGCGUUAUCCGGAGUUACUGGGCGUAAAGCGCGCGCAGGCGGUUAGGCAAGUUGGGUGUGAAAGCUCCCGGCUCAACCGGGCGAGGACGUGGGCGAACUGCAGGGCUAGAGGCAGGUAGAGGCGUGUGGGAUUCCGGGUGUAGUGGUGAAAUGCGUAGAGAUCCGGAGGAACACCAGUGGCGAAGGCGACACGCUGGGCCUGGCCUGACGCUGAGAGGCGAAAGCAUGGGGAGCGAACGGG
rnacentral:rRNA from 1 species